rnacentral:lncRNA from 1 species
GUUGCAGGUACAGGUAAAGGUUACUUGACGCGAGCGCGUUGAUUGUUCAUUUGGAGUUGCUUCUUCUUCUUCUUCUUCUUCUUCUUCAUCAUCAUCGAUCUAGGAUGGGUUCCAGGCCGGCAGCCUGGGAUAUCAAGGAUGGACGUCGUUCUUGUUUUUCUCGUUUGUUUUCGUCCGUAGUCGGACCCUGCUCUUACUCUUGAUGAUUAUGUAAUGUACUGUUGUGACUCUGAUGUAGCUUGUGGCGAGUGUAAGCCA